rfam:Lottia gigantea unplaced genomic scaffold LOTGIsca_4426, whole genome shotgun sequence.
GCCUCCAUAGCUCAGUGGCUAGAGCACUGGUCUUGUGAACCAGGGGUCGGGAGUUCGAUCCUCCCUGGGGGCU